ACGAACGCUGGCGGCAUGCCUAACCCAUGCAAGUCGAACGAGACCUUCGGGUCUAGUGGCGCACGGGUGCGUAACGCGUGGGAAUCUACCCUCAGGUUCGGAAUAACUCAGAGAAAUUUGAGCUAAUACCGGAUGAUGACGUAAGUCCAAAGAUUUAUCGCCUGAGGAUGAGCCCGCUUAGGAUUAGGUAGUUGGUGAGGUAAAGGCUCACCAAGCCGACGAUCCUUAGCUGGUCUGAGAGGAUGAUCAGCCACACUGGGACUGAGACACGGCCCAGACUCCUACGGGAGGCAGCAGUGGGGAAUAUUGGACAAUGGGCGAAAGCCUGAUCCAGCAAUGCCGCGUGAGUGAUGAAGGCCUUAGGGUUGUAAAGCUCUUUUACCCGGGAUGAUAAUGACAGUACCGGGAGAAUAAGCUCCGGCUAACUCCGUG
rnacentral:rRNA from 1 species